GGGGCUUUCGAGGAGAGAGAGCCAAAUGCCCCCCAGAGGGCAGAGGGCAGCCGUUUGGGAGAGACCGGUUGGCAAGUCUGAGGCUGUGAGUACAGGUCAUCAAACGAAUCUGAGGCACCUUUCCAGACCAUGUAGGGCCUCAGCUGCCCCCCCCACCCCAGCACCCAGAUGGUUCGGGCCCCCGGGUUGUUCAAGGGCAGGCGGAGUAGAGAUGAACUCGGGCUGGGAGUGAGGCUGCGGGGAGCUGCCCUGAGGAGGGGCGCUGCUCUGGACCCAGCGGUGGAAGGGGCAGGGGGACGGGAAGUGGCUGGUGUGGGGGUUGCUGGGCUGAGGCUGGCGAGUGGCCCGCAGGCCACGCUGGGCCGGGCUGGGGCGAUGGUGGCCCAAGGAGUCCGGCCCUCCGGCCCCGGGCUGCCUUUCUGCUUCCUCAGCCGUGUCUGCAUGUAGGAGCGUCUCAGCAGAGGCGUACUUUCCUAAAGGGCCUGGCUGGCGGCUGGUGUUUAGCGGGAGAUGGUCCAACGUGACCAUAAAUUCAAAGUAAUGCGCAGGGUGACAUGAGUAGGGAGCCGUGGGGAGGAAGAGAUAGAGCCCCGAGGAAAACGGCAGGAGGAAGGCAGCUCUGGGUAGAAAAGGGCAGUCAGCUCAGUUGAGGGUCACAGACCCCUGUGUGGGCAUGGGUGGUGUCUGGAAAAGCGGGUGGGGUCGGCAGGUGCAGCUCGGCGUGUGCCCGCCGAGCAGGAUGCUGUCCCCACUCCCGGGGAUGCUAAGGCCUCCAUUAGGAGUGCAGGCUGCGGGGGGAACGGGGGGACAUGGGGGUCGGGGGUGCUGAGUGGGCUCACAGGACUCAACUCCUUCAUCAGAUCAAUGGCUACCCAUCACUUUCGCUUCUGGACCCAGGCGGGGGCCCGAGGGCAGGAGUACAGGCUACGGAAACAGCAUAGUCUGUUUGCCACGAACAGGUAGCGGGGAGCCAUGAAGGCGUGAAGAACGCGUGGGGAGGCAUUAGGAAGAUUUAGGCAGGUCUUGAGGGGGCCGAGGCAGUGGUCUUCUCACUUGAAGGGGUGUCUUUGGAAAAGGGGCCAGGCUCUCCCUACGGGCCUGAACCGCCACUGACCUCCCUCCCUUCGUGCUCACGUUUCCAUCUCAGUGACAGCACCACCUCUCCCAUCUCAGUGACAGCACCACCUCUCCCUUCUCAGUGACAGCACCACCUCUCCCAGGUGUUGAGGCUUUGAUCCUAGAGUCCACCUCAGUUCCUUCCUGCUUCAAGCCUCACACUUGGUCGCCCUGUCGUCCUGAAACCCCCCAGUUUGCUCCAUUUCCCCGCCACUCCUGUAGACCAGGCCUGCACCAUCUCUCCCCAGCUCUUGCAGCAUCUUUCCCUAGAUGUACGCUGGCCUCCUAACCGCUCUCCCAGCUGCCCCGGACCCCACAGUCCACUCUCCGUUCAGUAUCCAGAAUGGCUUUUUUAGAUUCCAGAGUCGCUGGCACCUUAAAACACUUGUGCUGCUUCCCUCUGCUCUGCUCUCUCUCUUUUUUGUUUUUGGCUAUGCCUGGGGCAUAUAGAAAUUCCCCAGCCAGGGAUUGAACCCAUGCCACAGCAGUGACCCAAGCCACAGAAGUGACAACGCUGGCUCCUUACCCUGCUGAGCCGCUUGGGAGCUCUGCUCUGCUCUUUGAAAAAACCCAGAUUCCUUUCCAUGGGCCCCAGGGCUGUGCAGCCUGGCCCUGCCCUAUCUCCUACUGCUCUUCCUUCUGUCCCUGACAUGUGGGCAGCACUGGGCUCCUUUCUGCCCCUCACACCUGACAAGCGCUUUCCCAGAACUGGCCACCACCCAUGCUGUCCCUCCGCUCGGCGUGUCCUUCCUGCCCCGCCUGCACUUGCCCCUUCUCACCCUUCCAGCUGCUGAUCGAGGCCUCCAAGGCCGUCCCUGUCUCAACAUCCUGCUUGCUUUCUCCAGAGAACUGAUGAUAAUCUGUAGUCCCCGCCUUUGCUCGUUCAUCCCUUUCCUUCUCUACGAGGUCGUGAGCCCCGCAGGAGCAGAUUGGACUGUCUCUCCUGGGUCCCCCACCCUCACCCCAGCCAGGUCCAGUGCCUGGCGUGGAUACAUCAGCGGGGAAGGGCUCUGAGGCGAGUGCUUAAAAAUAAUAAUAACAGCAACCGCACCAGCACCCUCACGGUGCUUGGUGCGUUAUCACCAUUCUAAGCUCUUUGCGUGUCAGGUAGAGGGGG
ensembl:lncRNA